UACGAUUUUUUUUUCUUUUUUUUUUUCCGAUUUUCUUUGGGUUUUAAGUAAAUGAGCUUAAGUUUGGUAUGUGUUUAGUUUAUUUUUAUAUAAUCUGUUGAAAUUUUGGUUUAUGCAGAUUUAGUAUCUCUUCUCUUUUUUUUGUCAAUUUUUGUGUUUUUUUUCUAGAUAAUAAUUUUAAAUUGUUCUAAUUUUUUCUUCCAGGACAAUGGUUUCGCAUCUCUGUUUUUUUUUUUUUCCAAUCUGGAGACCUUAAGAAAAGCUAGAGCAAGAGGAUAUUGAAGAUGUGAAAUCCAAACUUGAGAAAGAAAGGCAAAACUUUUUCAAGGCACUCUCCAAGAGCUCAAAAGAGUGUGAGAACUUACUGAAGAAUGAAAGUGCCAAGUUCCAAGCAAUCUAUGAGAAGUUCAUCAAGGAGAAAGCUACACAUCUCCUACUCUGAAAAGUACCUUUAUUAAAUGGCUUUUAUUGGAUUGUUGUUUUGAUUUUGGAUAUUGCAAGUCUAAUUUUGAUAACAUUAUUUUCAUGCAGCAUUGAGAAUUUUUCUGAUAUAUUUGUAACUAUGAAGUAAUGCACUUGUGCAAAUUUAAUUGGACUAUAAUAUAAUUGCUUAUGGUUCAUAUCAAAAUUUAUGUAAACUGACUGUUGAGGACAUUUGACAGAUGUUGUGAACAAAUAUGAGGAAGAAAAGGAAAAGUUAUUCACACGAUAUGAGGAACUUGCAUAUUUCUUUUACCAUUUUGAUUGUAAUGAAGAGAACACACACAUAAAGUAGCAAUCAGAUCUGAUAUUUGUUCCUUGGGUGUUACUUUAUGUUUAUGAAGAGAACACACAUAAAGUAUCAUUUUGAUCUGAUAUUUGUUUUUGGGUGUAAUUACCAUUUAUGUAAUGAUAUGAUAUUGGGUGUAAUGAAGAAAAGGAAAAGUUACCAUUU